GAUGAACGCUAGCUACAGGCUUAACACAUGCAAGUCGCGGGGCAGCAUGGGGGUUGCUUGCAAUCCCCGAUGGCGACCGGCGCACGGGCGAGUAACGCGUAUCCAACCUGCCCUUCACCACGGGAUAACCCGGCGAAAGUCGGACUAAUACCGUAUGUUGUCCAUUGACGGCAUCCGAUUUGGACGAAAGGCUUGGCGGUGAGGGAUGGGGAUGCGUCCGAUUAGCCAGACGGCGGGGUAACGGCCCACCGUGGCUACGAUCGGUAGGGGUUCUGAGAGGAAGGUCCCCCACACUGGAACUGAGACACGGUCCAGACUCCUACGGGAGGCAGCAGUGAGGAAUAUUGGUCAAUGGGCGUAAGCCUGAACCAGCCAAGUAGCGUGCAGGAUGACGGCCCUAUGGGUUGUAAACUGCUUUUAUGCGGGGAUAAAGUGGCCCACGUGUGGGCUUUUGCAGGUACCGCAUGAAUAAGGACCGGCUAAUUCCGUG
rnacentral:rRNA from 1 species